GAUGAACGCUAGCGGCAGGCUUAAUACAUGCAAGUCGAGGGGCAGCAUAGUGUAGCAAUACAUGGGUGGCGACCGGCAAACGGGUGCGGAACACGUACAGAACCUUCCUUCGAGCGGGGAAUAGCCCAGAGAAAUUUGGAUUAAUACCCCAUAGUAUAUUGGAGUGGCAUCACUUUGAUAUUAAAGAUUUAUCACUUGAAGAUGGCUGUGCGUCUGAUUAGGUAGUUGGUGAGGUAAUGGCUCACCAAGCCAGCGAUCAGUAACUGGUGUGAGAGCACGACCAGUCACACGGGCACUGAGACACGGGCCCGACUCCUACGGGAGGCAGCAGUGAGGAAUAUUGGUCAAUGGACGCAAGUCUGAACCAGCCAUGCCGCGUGGAGGAUGAAGGUCCUCUGGAUUGUAAACUUCUUCUAUCUGGGACGAAAAAGGGCCUUUCUAGGUCAACUGACGGUACCAGAUGAAUAAGCACCGGCUAACUCCGUGCCAGCCGCCGCCGUAAUAC
rnacentral:rRNA from 1 species